UCUACCAGGGCAACAUCAGGUCAACAAUCUCAACGAAGAGGAAAUGGACCCUUCAACUCUCAUCACAUGAGAGAUGAAACGGUCGGACAAUUAACCCCUGAAAGCACCUCUGCUGCCUCUGGUUACUCAGUACCUAAUGGAGGAAUUGAUCAGACUGGCUGGACCCUAAACAACAUCCAACAGUAUAAUGCUCCCUCUUCAACGGGCCAAUCAUUCCCAAUGGCAUAUACAUCGCCACACGGUGCAAUUCUCGGUAUGUACCCCGCCGACCAAUCAAGCAUAAUGAUGUCUGCUCCUAUACAGCUGUUCCCAAUCUCAACAAUCCCGAUUAAUCAAUCUAUGAUCCAGCACGCACAAGCUUCAAACUUGGUAGUGUCAUCGGCAGGCCUGUCAGGGGAACCGUUAACCCACAAAGCUCUCGAAAAGGCGUCCCAGGAGUACGAUACGCUGACAGACCAGCUUUCAAAUUUGGAUAGAUACCUUGCAAUACACUCCUGGGAUAUUGAUCCAGUUGCGAAGAAAAUCCUAAUUGACCAGCGGGUAGAACUUGUCAUGAAACUUGACACUGCAAGAUCAACGAAGG
rnacentral:sRNA from 1 species